rnacentral:rRNA from 1 species
GAUGAACGCUGGCGGCGUGCCUAAUACAUGCAAGUCGAGCGAACAGACGAGGAGCUUGCUCCUCUGACGUUAGCGGCGGACGGGUGAGUAACACGUGGAUAACCUACCUAUAAGACUGGAUAACUUCGGGAAACCGGAGCUAAUACCGGAAAAAUUAUUGAACCGCAUGGUUCAAUAGUGAAAGAUGGCUUUGCUGUCACUUAUAGAUGGAUCCGCGCCGCAUUAGCUAGUUGGUAAGGUAACGGCUUACCAAGGCAACGAUGCGUAGCCGACCUGAGAGGGUGAUCGGCCACCCUGGAACUGAGACACGGUCCAGACUCCUACGGGAGGCAGCAGUAGGGAAUCUUCCGCAAUGGGCGAAAGCCUGACGGAGCACCGCCGCGUGAGUGAUGAAGGUCUUCGGAUCGUAAAACUCUGUUAUUAGGGAAGAACAAAUGUGUAAGUAACUAUGCACGUCUUGACGGUACCUAAUCAGAAAGCCACGGCUAACUACGUG